CAGGCUUAACACAUGCAAGUCGAGGGGCAGCAUGGUCUUAGCUUGCUAAGGCCGAUGGCGACCGGCGCACGGGUGAGUAACACGUAUCCAACCUGCCGUCUACUCUUGGACAGCCUUCUGAAAGGAAGAUUAAUACAAGAUGGCAUCAUGAGUCCGCAUGUUCACAUGAUUAAAGGUAUUCCGGUAGACGGUGGGGAUGCGUUCCAUUAGAUAGUAGGCGGGGUAACGGCCCACCUAGUCUUCGAUGGAUAGGGGUUCUGAGAGGAAGGUCCCCCACAUUGGAACUGAGACACGGUCCAAACUCCUACGGGAGGCAGCAGUGAGGAAUAUUGGUCAAUGGGCGAGAGCCUGAACCAGCCAAGUAGCGUGAAGGAUGACUGCCCUAUGGGUUGUAAACUUCUUUUAUAAAGGAAUAAAGUCGGGUAUGGAUACCCGUUUGCAUGUACUUUAUGAAUAAGGAUCGGCUAACUCCGUGCCAGCAGCCGCGGUAAUACGGAGGAUCCGAGCGUUAUCCGGAUUUAUUGGGUUUAAAGGGAGCGUAGAUGGAUGUUUAAGUCAGUUGUGAAAGUUUGCGGCUCAACCGUAAAAUUGCAGUUGAUACUGGAUAUCUUGAGUGCAGUUGAGGCAGGCGGAAUUCGUGGUGUAGCGGUGAAAUGCUUAGAUAUCACGAAGAACUCCGAUUGCGAAGGCAGCCUGCUAAGCUGCAACUGACAUUGAGGCUCGAAAGUGUGGGUAUCAAACAGGAUUAGAUACCCUGGUAGUCCACACGGUAAACGAUGAAUACUCGCUGUUUGCGAUAUACAGCAAGCGGCCAAGCGAAAGCGUUAAGUAUUCCACCUGGGGAGUACGCCGGCAACGGUGAAACUCAAAGGAAUUGACGGGGGCCCGCACAAGCGGAGGAACAUGUGGUUUAAUUCGAUGAUACGCGAGGAACCUUACCCGGGCUUAAAUUGCAGAUGAAUUACGGUGAAAGCCGUAAGCCGCAAGGCAUCUGUGAAGGUGCUGCAUGGUUGUCGUCAGCUCGUGCCGUGAGGUGUCGGCUUAAGUGCCAUAACGAGCGCAACCCUUGUUGUCAGUUACUAACAGGUUCCGCUGAGGACUCUGACAAGACUGCCAUCGUAAGAUGUGAGGAAGGUGGGGAUGACGUCAAAUCAGCACGGCCCUUACGUCCGGGGCUACACACGUGUUACAAUGGGGGGUACAGAGGGCCGCUACCACGCGAGUGGAUGCCAAUCCCCAAAACCUCUCUCAGUUCGGACUGGAGUCUGCAACCCGACUCCACGAAGCUGGAUUCGCUAGUAAUCGCGCAUCAGCCACGGCGCGGUGAAUACGUUCCCGGGCCUUGUACACACCGCCCGUCAAGCCAUGGGAGCCGGGGGUACCUGAAGUGCGUAACCGCGAGGAGCGCCCUAGGGUAAAACUGGUGACUGG
rnacentral:rRNA from 1 species